rnacentral:rRNA from 1 species
GACGAACGCUGGCGGCGUGCUUAACACAUGCAAGUCGUACGGUAAGGCCCUUUCGGGGGUACACGAGUGGCGAACGGGUGAGUAACACGUGAGUAACCUUCCCACAACUUUGGGAUAACGCUAGGAAACUGGUGCUAAUACUGGAUAUGUGCUCCUGCUGCAUGGUGGGGGUUGGAAAGCUCCGGCGGUUGUGGAUGGACUCGCGGCCUAUCAGCUUGUUGGUGGGGUAGUGGCCUACCAAGGCGGCGACGGGUAGCCGGCCUGAGAGGGUGACCGGCCACAUUGGGACUGAGAUACGGCCCAGACUACUACGGGAGGCAGAAGGGGGGAAUAUUGCACAAUGGGAGCAAGCCUGAUGCAGCAACGCCGCGUGAGGGAUGACGGCCUUCGGGUUGUAAACCGCUUUCAGCAGGGACGAAGCUUUUUGUGACGGUACCUGCAGAAGAAGCACAGGCUAACUACGUG